CGGGCUAUAGCGCAGCUUGGUAGCGCACUUGUCUGGGGGACAAGGGGUCGCCGGUUCAAAUCCGGCUAGCCCGA
rnacentral:tRNA from 1 species